rnacentral:rRNA from 1 species
UACGAGGGGUGCAAGCGUUACGCGUGAAUCAUCGUGGCGUAAAGAGCGCGUAGGCGGGAUAGCAAGUCAGAUGUGAAAUCCUAUGGCUUAACCAUAGAACUGCAUUUGAAACUGUUAUUCUAGAGUAUGGGAGAGGUAGGUGGAAUUCUUGGUGUAGGGGUAAAAUCCGUAGAGAUCAAGAGGAAUACUCAUUGCGAAGGCGACCUGCUAGAACAUAACUGACGCUGAUGCGCGAAAGCGUGGGGAGCAAACAGG